ensembl:lncRNA
AAUAUUGGAACUAACGGAUCAUUUAAGGCAGAUACUAACCUGUAACUGAUGAUUUGUUGUGGAGAAUACACUGGAAUGGGGGGUUGAGCCAAUAGUAUUAGAAGGAAACCUCACAGUCUUUCAGGGAUACCCCUAGAACCACGAGGGAGAGACAAAGUCAUCCUCACCUUGGAAAUCCAAUCAUUACAAAGGGAGUUCACAUAAGGAUACUCAGAGCUUAUAUGGGUGACUAGUGCUUUAAGGCUUGAAAAAUGUUUUUUGUUUUUUUUUAGCAGCAAUUGAAAGGGAGUUGAGUGAUUCAGUGUAAGUCUUAUUAUUCCAUUUUACAGCUGAGGAAAUUGAGGCUCAGAGUUAAAAUGACUUGUUCAGGGAGACCCCAUUAUAAAUGGACAAAGCUGGGUUUUAGCUUCAGGUGUUCUGCCAAUAUUUUCUUCUUAAACUGUAUGAUCUCUAAAGGAUAUUCUGGGAAUAGUAGGUAGUUGUAAAUUAGAUUCUUUAAAGUCUUGGUUCAUAUGGAAAAUGAAUAAAAGGGAAAACAUCUUCAUGAUUUUCAUAUAAAAUGAAAACUUGAAUUUUUAUUAUGAAUUGAGUCUUGAUUGCCAAAUUACUCUUUUAAAUGAUGGCAUUUCCAUCUGUGUCUUGGUUAGUCUCCCAAAUGUGAUUCUAUCUGCACAUGUAUGUAAUUUUGUCUUUGAAAUGUAUGUGUCUCCCACUCUUUCCAGGAUAGCUGCAGAAAAUAAAUUUCAGAAAAUCAAAGUAUGCUUCCUUCAUUGGAUUGUAUGAGAAUUUAGAAAUAAUUCCCAAAGAAAAAAUUUUAUACUAGGACAAAAUUUGAAAGUUCAAUGAAAAAAGUUAAUUUAUAAGGUCUAGAGCUGAAAGGGACACUACUACUUAUCUAGUCUACUCUCUCCAUUUUACAGAUGAGAAAACUGAGAUCCAAAGGGGUAAAGUGAAUUUCCCAAAGUGACACAGGUAGCAGAUGGAAAAAUUCUGUCUCUUCUGUGUGUGUUGCUGCCAAAUAAAUCUAAAUAUUCUUCUGGAGAUUUAUGGAAUACUAUCUCUGAAGAAACAUCAUGAUGAUCAACCAGGGAGCAAUGGAGAGGUGCAUGGUGGGAAGAAGCAGUCGGUAACAUAUCACAAAGAAUUACUGAGGAGAAGCAGUGUAAAGGAAUGUCAUGAAAAAUAUAGAAUAGAAAGAAAACAUGAGUAGAAUACACAGUGAGUAUGAAGGAUGACUUAUGGAGAGACUAUAUGUUCGAUUGAUAUUCCUAAGAUGUCAGGAGAACUCAAGGAAGAGACACAGCUAUAGAAAAGACCCCCUCACCCCACCCAACCCCCUCCUCUUUAUGAUCUUAUGCAAAGCUAUGGAAAAUAGUCACAUUAUAUAGAAUAAUAGGGAUGGGUGGCUAUCUGCAUCAUUGGAGGGUAUGUGCACACAUAUGAAAUCACAGAUGAGGAAAAAUUACCCAAUAAUUAGAAUGAUCUGAAAAUGAGAUGGGCUGCUGUGUGAGAUAGCGAGUAUUUUGUGCCUGGUGGUGUUCAAGUAGAGCUUGGAUUGCCAUCUAUCAGGUUUUGUAGAGGGCAUGCAUGAAUCAAUCAGAUGUUGGUCUUGAUAACCUCUAAGGAGGAAGUCAGGUGGCACAGUGAAUUAAACUCAUAGAACUGAAGUCAAGAAGACCUGAAUUUAAAAUCUAUCCUUAGAUACUUCCUAGCUGCAUAAUCCUGGGUAAGUCACUUAACUUCUGUCAGCCUCAGCUGUGAAAUAGGGAUGAUAAAAUAACAUCUACCUCCCAGGAUCACAUGAGACAAGAUUUAUAAAGUGCUUAGCAUAGUACCAGACACAUAAUAGGGGCUUAAUAAAUACUUGUUCUCUUCCUCUUCCCUUCCA